ACUCCCAACCCCUGUGAACAUACCACUUGUUGCCUCGGCGGAUCAGCCCGCUCCCGGUAAAACGGGACGGCCCGCCAGAGGACCCCUAAACUCUGUUUCUAUAUGUAACUUCUGAGUAAAACCAUAAAUAAAUCAAAACUUUCAACAACGGAUCUCUUGGUUCUGGCAUCGAUGAAGAACGCAGCAAAAUGCGAUAAGUAAUGUGAAUUGCAGAAUUCAGUGAAUCAUCGAAUCUUUGAACGCACAUUGCGCCCGCCAGUAUUCUGGCGGGCAUGCCUGUUCGAGCGUCAUUUCAACCCUCAAGCACAGCUUGGUGUUGGGACUCGCGUUAAUUCGCGUUCCUCAAAUUGAUUGGCGGUCACGUCGAGCUUCCAUAGCGUAGUAGUAAAACCCUCGUUACUGGUAAUCGUCGCGGCCACGCCGUUAAACCCCAACUUCUGAAUGUUGACCUCGGAUCAGGUAGGAAUACCCGCUGAACUUAAGCAUAUCAAUAAGCGAGGGAAAAAGAA
rnacentral:rRNA from 1 species